rnacentral:misc_RNA from 1 species
GAUGAAGAACGUAGCGAAAUGCGAUAAGUAGUGUGAAUUGCAGAAUUCAGUGAAUCAUCGAAUCUUUGAACCCACAUUGCGCCCCUUGGUAUUCCAUGGGGCAUGCCUGUUCGAGCGUCAUUUGUACCCUCCAGCCCUGCUGGGUAUUGGGCGUUUUGUUCCGCUACGCGCGUGAACUCGCCUCAAAUGCAUUGGCAGCCCGCCGUCCCGUGUGGGAGCGCAGCACAUUUUGCGCUCUCCGCUGCUGACGGUGGCAUCCACAAGUCUACCAUUUUACGCUUGACCUCGGAUCAGGUAGGGAUACCCGCUGAACUUAAGCAUAUCAAUAAGCGGAGGA